GUGACAGCGGCCCCGCUCUCUGAGGAGGACCCGAGGGUCUCUCGGUCUCUCCCUCCUUCCCUCCCUUCAGCAGCUCCCGCCGCCAUCACGCCCCGCUUCCCGCCUCCUCGCCCGCGCGCGCCGCUGGGGCCGCCAGAGGAGGGGGCGCGGGCAGGGGUUGGGCAGCGCGAUCCGCGACCGUUGGUCCCCCCUCCACGGCCCCUCCGGGGGAAGGUUUCAAACCGCCCGCCUCCCGCUGAGGGGAGGGCCCUGCGGGCGGCCCCUCUGCAGCUGCUGGGGGCCAGACGCAUCCACCGCCCCCUCGAGGGACCUGUAUAGUCGAAGUAUAUUUACGUAAGGAGAGGCCAGGGUAAAAGCGAGGGGCGGAGAGGAAAAAUGGUCUCUGGGCACAGCAGGGUGACGCCGGGCUGAGGUGAAGGAUGGGCAGAAGCCCCUGCAGGCUGAGGUACCUCGGCCGCGGCAUGGCCUCGCCUCCAGGCUGGAGGAAAAGCCGCGUUUCCCAGCUCCGCCGCCAAAAGUAAGCGUGCGGGGCAUUCACAAGUCUUUGAGGCAACCCAGCUCGAGAAGUGUUUCCUUUUUCCCUUAAGAGCCAAUGGCACACACCUAAAAGCCCCCAAAAAAGCCUUAACGUGGAAAAGAAGGGAGUUGAAAGCCUGUGUGUGUGCCGGCGAAGCGGUCACCCCGCACGUACAAGGGGAACUCCCGAAGGCGAUGCCCGCACAGCCCGAAAUAAAAGUGCUAAACGUCCGAGAGCCGAGGGACGCGGAAACUGAAUGGGGACCUCCUCGCCUCGGCUCUUUCAUAACAGCAGGAACGCGGCGCGGCGAUGCGGUAACGCGGCGAUUAGGCAACGUUUUGUGAGGGGAGAGAAGGAAAGGUUCGGUAAUCCGACGUGAAUAAAGCCCGAAAGAGCCAACUAAGCCAUACCUGGAUCUCAUGAAUGCGGCCGAAGCCGUCCUUCCAGAAGAACUCGUAGAGAUUGUAGAGGGUGUUGGGUCCGGGCAUUUCGUGCAGACUCUUCACCCUGCCCAGCUGCGGGGAGGGCUCCAGCAGCUCCCCCGGCCGCGCCGCUUUGUUCUCCGCGCCGCUCCGCACCUCCAGGGACUGACUGCCCGACAGCCCGGGCGCCUGGUGAAACCUGCUGACAAAAAGCGCGUGCUGGAAACAGAGCCCUUCUUUCUCUUCAUCGUAGAACUUCAAAAUGUUUCAACCAAUUUGCUAGGAUUUUAGAAGAAGCCAAGUCAUGGUUAUCAACUAGGUCCCAGUUUAAAAACAUUAUGUAAAGUGCUCCUAUCAGGACUCAAUCACUUUUGUUUAAGCGAUUUAAACAUCAACAUUUUGCUAAGUAGACAGUAAUCAGAUAAAUAAUAUUUCUAACAUCAGUACAAAGUCCAUAUACAAAACCUUUUCAGAAUUCACCUGAAAAAGUGUCCUCAGGUGAUAAAAAUAAAACCUGUUCAUCACACUGAAAACCAGACAGGUAUAACCGGGAUCCAGUCACUGGAUAAUAUACAUCUCCGUGAUGAGAUUAGGUCCUUAUCUUCUUUUCAUUCAGUCACAAGAACAGAAAUGCUGCUAAGCAAAAACGUGGCUAUAUAGAUGCACACAAAGAUGUCUUUUAGAGGACCUGCCAGAAAUUUCAAAUCCAUAUUUUUAGUUAUGGAAAGAGGUACAUGGAUGCACAGUUGUUAUAGAACGCACACAUGAAGGACAUCAUUUCCGGAAGCGCUUAAAUAGGGGAUGGAUGUGCUUAUUUGAAGAUGCCUUACUCCGAGAUGAGUGAUAUUCCAUAUAAACCGCAUCAUCGGCUCCUGACAUAGAGCUCAUUGUGCCUGUGCGACGUGACAUCUGCAAGCAUGGAGAGGAAAAACACAUGCUUAGAGUGUGUGAUUAGACAGAUCAGCUCUCAUCUACAGACCUUCGGACCAAAAAGCCCUCAAAACUGGUUUUUAUUUUCCUUAAAGGAGAACUUCUACUAAGAAAGUAACUGCCUGCCUACCACUCACUCUUAUGUAAAAUGGUCUUUUAGUUUCUGCCCUUUGGGCAUGAGGAAAUCAGUGAAUUAAUGAGCCAAGAGCUAAUGCAGCUUAAAAAAAAAAAAAAAAAAGUUUUCCAGUAUUUUACUAAGACAUGAAGGCAUCAGUGGUGCCAUCACAUUCAGAAUUAAAACGGAAUGGUCCUAUUCUACUGCAUUUGUGGUCAUUCUUUUCAAAGCAUUUUUCAUUACCUGAACAGACUUUGAACCAUAUUCUCCAGCAACUACCUCCUCCUCGGCAUCUAGGUCAGAUGCUUGUAGGACUUUCUGAAGAAGUUGUUGCUGUUCUUCUUUGGAUGAAAAUGAAAGUUCUUCUUCUUCCAUGCCUGCAAGCUUUGUUAUUACCUAAGAAACAGAGCACAGUAUAAGUCAGGAGUUUUUGAACUGUUAUUAGUUAUGGUGCGUGUGCAAAUGUAUCCCCCACCCCAAUCUCCUGUUAUAUUCUGGCUUGAAAUGCAGUAGCUCUGGACAGGAAAUGUAUGCCAAACAUUGUCAUUCCAUGCCAGCUUGACCAGGAACCUUACUGGAAGGAUGACUUCAUGCUGCAGCUUCAGGUUUUGUCCAAUGUAAGAACUAAUACUUUAUAUGAAUAUACUUUACAGUAAAGUACGUUGUAUUUCAUAAAAAUAAUCAAUGAGCUUUCCAGGCACCAAGAAUUUUAACAUACACAUUUAGAAACAUUCACAAUUAGUUGUUGAGAGACUGCACAACAACCUGCAGCAGAACAUCAGCAGUGUCACUGUUGUCAGCAGCAAUUUCUAAAUUGAAAAAAUGCAUUUCUCUGAGAAAUGUGUAGUUUUAAGAAUCUAUUCAAGGAAGCAACCUGUCCUAUUAUAUGGACAAAUGAACUCUAUGAUUCCUCUUGUUGUUUAUGAAGUACAUGUGCCAUGAUCACCUCAAAACCAAAACAGAGCCACAGGAAGAACUGCAUUAGCAUGUUUACAGUUGUUGCAGAACAGUGCUGGCAUAUUUCAUAAAACAGAAAGAAUUUCCAUUGCAUCACAAUUUUUUUAAGCUGCCGAACAGAUGCCAAGUUUAAUGUAAUCAGAUUCUUUGAUUCAGAUUCUUUUGCUGAAAGGCACAGAAUUGAGCUACUGAUAGAUGAAAAGAAGAAAGUCCUGGAAGAAAAAUGCAUACAGUUACCUUUUUAAGAGAGUACCAAAUUUUUAGUAAUGUUAGGCAUCAGGAAUAAAAAUUCCAAAGGAAAGGAUGUUAGCACUGAAAUAAUUGCCUAAAGAUGAAGUAGAGUCACGAAGACAAACAUCUGCUGGGAAUGACAUACACAGUUGAUUCUGGCUUGUAAUGAAGAAACAUUAGAUGGUUUCUUCAAGUUUCUUCCAACCCUAUUAUUGUUCAAUGCCAGCUAUGACUAAAGCUUAAAGUUCAGCAAACAGAAGAAAACAGAUAUUCUAGCAUUUUGUUACUAAUCUUCAAAUAAAGAACAUUCCAGUACUGGUCAGCUAAAAUUCUGCUCCAGACAGUCAGAUGCCAUUUGCACUACUUUUAUUGCCACGAAGUCCGAACUCCUAGGACUAGGUCUUCCUUGCAAAAUAAAACCUCUCUAUUUUAACCUCUUACUUAGUUCUAUAAUCCGAGACUUAUAUUCAAAUAAAAGCAGAGGGAUUUCUUUAAUCUUCUUGGCUAUAGCCACAUAGACUCAUUUGUUGUAAUUACCUGCAGCUGACUGAUCUACAGUUUUGUCAAGAUAUGUUCAAUACAAAGCAAAACAAGGCUCUUACAUGUAAAGCCUAUGACAUGUCUGUUUUGAUGCAAAGACCUCCUCUUUAACAGGGCCACUGAUGACAGAGCAGUUUACUUCAGAGUACCUGCAGUUCAUACAGGUUCUACCCACGGAGAUGUCCCAAAAUGGAUGUAUGCCUCUAAUGAUCUUCAACAGCUAGGUUCAAGUGCAAUCCAUUAGAGACUAUUUGCUCUUUCACCUUGUGCAAUUUGUGCAGUGACUGCUGCACAUGGCUAUCUGGAACAUCAUUUGUCUUUCACGUCACCGUCACCACUGCUGAAACACACCACCCACCACCUCAGUUUGCUAGCAUCUACUGUUUAAGUCUCCGUAAGUGUUCAGCAAGCUUCAGUGAACGUCAAUGGGUGCCAUUUUUUCUGCACGGAGGAAUUCAAUUCCACAUCUUUGCUUCAUAUGCACUUCCAUGCCAGACACCAUUUUGUCGGACUGCCCCCCUGCUACCAUCUGUCACACAACAACAACAUGCAAUGGAAUAUUGGUGAGAAGAUUCAGCCUUUACUGCCAUACUACCAACAUCCACCUCUGACACUGUGGGCCAACAUAAUUAAACAGGAGGCAUUACUUUCAGAUCCACCCUUAUAUAUCCGAAAGUAAUGUAACUAAAGUAACUUACCUUCCUAAAAGCUGUAUUAAACUACUUGUAUCUACCCUUACAGCAACAGAGUUAACAGAAUAAUGCAGGAAAAAUUUUUGCCUGCAAGUAAAACCUUCAUUAAUACAUUUCACAACUGUAAUUCUCAAGUAUCUGACCUAGUCACAAAAUGAAAGAAUUAAAGUUAUAUUCACAGGCCACAGUUUAGUAAUUAGAAGGGACAAAUUACCUUGAAGCUAUAGCCUUGAUCUACAAGAAACCGCUGUCGCUUUGUUGAAUAUGCCAUUUCCUGAGUGUCUUGGGAUACAAGAGAAUAGAAAAAGGCAUUGUAUUCCUCUGCAACCAUGCCUAGGAGACAAAGCCACCAAAGGAUUAGUUCCAUUUGGAUCACUACAACCAAGAAGAAAAAAGGACUAAAUUGUAAAAAUAGGUAUUCAAAGAAGAAUCCUCUCCACAAAAUCAGUUUGUAAAAUGUAUUUUAAAUACAAGCUGCAUCCAGACCUUACAUAAACUGAGUGACAAAGCACACCACAUCGAAAUUCCUACUCUUGUUCAUAAUAACUCGAGGAUAGCUUAAAGGGAAAUGGAAAAGGAAAUUUAGACUAUCCCAGUUAUGCUGGUACCCCGAGAAGAACCUGCUGCUUAACUAUGCAGAACAAAGUAGAAGAAAAAAUUACUUACAUAAUAGUUUGCAAACAAGUGGUAAGAAGUCGAGAACAAAGAUUGUAAUGGAUGUCAAAAAAGUUAAACAGAAAUUACAAUGGAAAUUUAUCAGUGUGAUUUAUCAAUGUAAACGAAAGUUAGCAAUCUUUUUGCAUUAAAAGAAAGAUAAAACGAUAUUUUCUUUAACAACAAAAAAACCAAAGCAACCAAACCAAUCAAACAAACAAACAAACAAAAGCCCACUGACCUUAUGGCUAUUUUACCUACUCUCAAAUACCACUGGGUUUUCUUGCAAAACCCAAGGUCUCACUAACACAAGUUUUGUAUGCAUUUUCAAACAAAACUUCAGCCACAAGAAACAUAAACUGUACAGAAAAUAAACUUUGCUGUACUACACCAAGACAGCACUGUGGAGUGUGCUUUGGUAGGAAGAAAAUUACAGAUAACAGCAGCAACUCUGUAUGGGGACAAUAAAAAGAGACUUCACAUCACAUGAAAACAGGUGGGAGAAAGCAAACCCCAGAUUCUGCUUACAACACUCAUUUUCCCAACAGCCAAAUGCAGAACUGAAGCACUGCAAUUUUAUUCUCCACCUGACAGUUAUCAAUAAUUUCCUCUGAAAUACGACCACUUCCUAGGGAAUACUCUUUCUAUCUAAACUAAGUGCCAACAGGCUGUGAUAUAAACCAAUCUUUAAGCUUCUUACUACCUUAACUUGAGAGAACUCUUGAAGUAGAACCAUUUCACCUUGAGCUACUUUAUAAUUUGUCUCAAGAAGAUAUAAAUGGGAUUAGAGCAGAUUAAACAUCGCCUAUUUAUCAGUUAAUAGAACAGACUUACAUCAGUGUCUUUUAGGAAACAUUCAGUUAAUCAAGUCAACCAGCAAAUUCUGCCUAAGAGCGAUUCACCUUAGUUCAAGACUAAUAGAAACGUCAAAAGAAAACGUGACAGAAGCAUCCCAAUAGCACUCAUAUGUAUUCUUCAAACUGAGACACAGAUGGGAGUGAUCAGUGAGAUUUCAAAUAACCAAUGAAGCAAUUCCUAAAAUCCUGACCCCACAGUAAGUUUAAAUCCUACUCACAUAUCCAUCAUAGAAAAAGGAAACACCAGUACAACUGCAGUUUUUUUCCUAUAUGAUCUCUGCACUCUGAGUCUAGAACAUACCAUAAAAAGCAAAGCUCACUUUCACUGAAGCUACAGUGACACUGUGACUCCACAUAUAUCCCAGGCCAGAGUGACAAAUAGCUUUUCAGCUUACAGUUUACUUAUCCUCUAGAAAUAUACUGGAGGAUGAGGGGAGGAACAGCAAAAACCUGAUGAACUAUUCAACCUGAUAACGAAAACAUGAUUUUGACAGUCUUUGGGUAGGAAGUAAAUGCUACAAGCACUCCAUUUAUGCUUUGCUAUGGAUGGACAGGAUUGCUGCUCCUGUUAGUGCCACAGCUUUCUACAACCUCCACCUGAAGUGUUUGUAAAUCAACUUUAAUAAAACACUAAAACAAGCAUUAGAGGAGAGAGAUACCUCAUAGAAACAAUGCUGGCUUUAUUGUAACAUAGUAUAUACAAAUUCACAAGUUUGGAGGAAAAAAAUAAACAUCACUGGGUGUUCUGGCUCAGCUGAUCUUAAGUUCUUAAAACAGAAAGGGGGAAACAAUGCUAUUCUGGCAUAGUAAAUCAUUGUAACAGGAGAGGAAAGAAGAUGCAAGAAAGUAUACAAGAAAGAAUUCAUUUCUGGCUAAAAAAGAAAUGGAGAAAAGAAAUAAGAGCUGCUGCAAGUGAAAGACUGAAUGGCAUCCGUAUUAGAACAACAACAACAAAGCCAAAACCCAACACUUCUCUCACACGGAACCUUGAACUACCUUCUUAUUCAUGAUAUUGCAGUUUAUUCAGUCUGUGUUUCAGUAUUCUAAAUAGUUGAGUAAUUAUCUGAAUGCCGUACUGUAUUCCAAAGAGCAGAGCCCAAGAACUACCUCACCUUUUUUGGCUCUCAGUACUCGCCCCAGUCUUUGAGCCUCCUGUCUUCGAGAUCCACCGUGGGAUGAAAUCUGAAUCAGAACAUUGGCUUCAGGUAGAUCAAAGGAUGUGUCACCCACCUACAACACAGAAGCAGUGUCUGAGCAGCAUCUUAUUUCCAUGUACCAAUAACGACUUUGUACAAAGUACACCUUUAUUAGUUGCAAUAAUAAAACGUCAAAUGCCCGAUGUGCAUGUAUAACUUGUUCUUAUAUAAGGCUCACUCUGAAGAUGAGUACAAAAACACACUACCUCCUCACCUUUGAAAUGAAAAUAGUGUUGAUUUUUGGAUUGUGCUUGAAGUUUUGUAGAAUUUGCAUUCUUUCUCCUUGUGCAGUAGGACCAUAUAUAUAAGGUCUGAAAAAAACAGAACACAUGCAAAUUAAACCAAUUCAAAAAUCCUCAUUUUUUAACAGGCACUAAGAUAUCAUGGCAGGGAGCUCAUUACACAGUGAUUUAAACGUAUUAAUAGCACUGGUGAAAAAAAGAGCAUGAGCUAUGUGACUCUGGAUGACAGACUUAGGACAGAGUAAAAACUGGCUUAACAAAUUUUGAGUUCUGAGGCCUCAAAAAAUUAAAGGCAAAAUAAUUCCUGUCAUGUGCAUGUUCUUUCCCUGCUAGUACCAAGGGAAUAGAAUGGGGCAAAGGAGGAGCUGGUGCAGCAGCAGCCACCAGGCAAUGCCAAUUUCUCUCCACUGGGGAGCCCACCUGCCCCAUAUGCUUGAGCCAGGCAGUGGAACCCACCCGCUGAGCCAGCACAGCC
rnacentral:lncRNA from 1 species